rnacentral:lncRNA from 10 species
AGGUGGUGAAUGUAGUGGGAGUGAUAUACACCAGUGACUCUCAAAUAUGCAGAAGAAUCACUAGAGGGAUGAGGUUUUACAGGAUGCCAAGUGCCACUCUAAAGCAAGGAACUAAACCAUCUAUACAGAAAUUGCAUUUGGGGUGCUCUUUUGCCAGCAUUAUUCCACUUCAUCCUAAAAAAGAAAAGGACACAUCCUGGAUAUCCAUAAGCAGCAGCCAUGUUCCUUUGUUGGAGACACACAUUCUGAAUGUCUGGAGACCACUGCACUAGCAUAAUAUAAUGUUUCUCAGAAAAAUAAUUUGCCAAGUGAGUUUGUGUGGCAGAACCUAAAGGCAAGUCCAUGUCUCACGUGGAGCCAAGACCAUGCUUUUUCCCAUGUCUCACAGCCACUCUAGAGAACUUUUAGGAGACAUUCAGUUGGCAGUACGUGCAUGACACUUUACCACCGAAGAUUGUGUCUAUUCUUCCAUUGCCUUGAAUUUGACCAGUAGUCACAAGGAGAGGCACUGGAGCACCAGAUAUAUGAAUGAAGAAACUACCUUGGCAUCCAGCCUAGUUGAGCCUUUGGAUAAGUCCAGCCUCAGCCCUAUCAUACUGCAACUGCAUGAACGACCCCAAAGAAGAGCCAUCCAGAAGAACAAAGUAAAUUUGAGACG